rnacentral:tRNA from 1 species
GCGGCUAUAGUCUAGUGGCAGGACGGAGGCUUCCCAAGCCUUUGGCGCGGGUUCGAAUCCCGCUAGCCGCA